UCAACUUCAAAAAUAUCAUGUCAUCAACAAUUGCCAUCCAAUCAACAGUCCCCACUGUUUUUAACAACAAUUCUUAUCCAAUCACCAAAAAGGAUUCACAGAUUUUUAUCAACAAUUGUCUAAUUUCAACAAUACAAUGCAUCAUUGCAAAGACAGAAAGGGAAAACAGAGGUGACAUAUCGCAAUUUGAGCUAUAUUUCACAUGAUAUGGAGAUAGAAAAAUGAGAAGAACAACCUGCGGACAAGCUCCUAGUAGCAGAGGUGUGUCGGCGAGGUCGUUGCCAUGGUCGGUAGCAAAGCGAGAGAGGAGUCGUCUGGGUAGAGUAUUCUGUGGGUGGCGGAGCCUGGCGUUGAGGUGAGCGGUGUCGGGCUGCAACCAGCGUUAGGGGACUGGGGAGCUUGGUCUGGGGCAGACCAGCGUCAGGUGGUGGAGGAGCUUGCGCUGUAGGGAGGAGACCAGCAUCGAGCGACGGUGGAGCUAUGGCUGGAGGGUCGGAGGGGGAUCGGAGUCGGGCGACGCCGGAGUUUGGGCUGGGGGAGAGUUGCCACAACAAGAAAAAUGUCAACUAGUGACCUUCUGUCAGUGACCCUAGAAUAAUUGGUCAUAGAUCUAUGACCAUUUGAGACCAAUUGGUCAAAAGCUGUUCGGGGGGCUCCAAACCCUAAACCAUUGCGACCAUUUUGGUCAUAAAGGUCGUAAUUUCCUUACACGAAAUGGUCAUAAAGCAAACAGUGCCGGUCCGCUACCUUAUUUCUAGUUGUUAACGACCAAUAUAGAUGGUCAUAGCCUUGUAGAUUGUGGUGGGUUGUGAUGACUAGGUGCCAUCUCAUCAGUUUUGCCUAUGUGUCAUGUCCAUGUGUCAAUUUUUUCCCUAGGUUGUGAAGCAACCUAUAUUUCUGUUAUUCAAAAAUUCCCAAAAAAAUCUCAUAAAUUGUUUGGAUCAUAUCUUCAUCAAAUAUGUCAAAAACAUUCCUUGCCUAGUUCAAAAAUAACUCAACAAUAUUCAUUUUCCUAUUCUGUUCAGAGCAGCACUUUGUGAAGGAAGUACUACUUUGGCAUGUCAAAAUGGUAUCCAUUUUCUACAGUGCUUUCCUAUGCCCAAAUAACCAUUCUCCACCAAAUGCCAGCUCAAUCCAUUCAUUAUUUUGAGCCCAGCUUCAACAUUCGUAUUUAUGUCCAAUGUGGUACUUUGCAAAGCAAGUACCACCUAGGGUCCUCCUUUUGAGCUAAAAAUUUGUGAAGACGGUCUUCUUAGUAAUUGAUCAUCCUCAGCCAAAGCUCACACACAUUAGCCAUGUGCAUUUCCCGUACCGCUAAUCAAACACUUAGCUGCUUAUUCAUGUUUGAGCAUCGAUGGGUCUCCUCGUGAGAAUCUUAUGUUGUGAUUUUCUUCCUAGCACCUACCUGGGGAGUGCCCAACCCACUAGACAUGCCUAGGCUGCCCAGAACACAUGGCAACGCCACGGUCACGCGGUGACCAUGCGGCGGGCAUGCUAGUUUACGCGCUCUAGAGUUGGAGCCCUCGGCCACCGUCCAAACCUCGACGUAUCGCCACCAAACCAUGUAUUUAUGAUUAAAUAGGUACUUAUGUAACUAGAAAUGAUUUUUGGAAAAAAUAAAGAGCAAACUAUGAGGCAGCUGCAGUUCAAAUUUGACCCGCUUCCAACUGAAUCGGCGGAAAUUUGUCUUUUUCACGAGAGGUGGAUAAAAACUUUUUACACCCAACCGUUUUGUCAAUUGUGCAUUAAAUAUGCCCUAGUAUUUUAGAAAAUUGAUUUGGUCCAAUUUUGCAACAAUUAUUUGGGAGGUCCUUCACAAAAAAAAACCUCCUUUUGGGCACUCGAAAAAUGGAAAAUGGUUUUUUCGUCCAAAGAAAAUGAAAACUUCCUUGGGCAACAUUGUUUGCCAUUCCAAUAUGCACCCUUGUGCACAAUAUGAGAUCAUUUGAACAAACUAUGCCAUGAAUUUGGCCAUAAGAUUGACCAUUUGGCUUGAAAGCCAUUGAUCUCCACACGUGAUAGCUCGUUUCUGAGAACACCUUUUUAAAAUAAUUGCCGUAUGACAAUUUGUUAUUUUUCCUGGGAACUUGGCCACAUAUAAUGACACAAUGCGAAGGUUUCCCAAUUUAUUGAUUUUUUUUUGAAUUUUUUAUGCCCGUUUCAAAAUGCGGUCAAAACAGUGGGAAUGACCGUUCCUAGCUAGUGGUUGAAUCUUGGAAUUUUUUUGGUGUUUCACUGAUCAAAUAGAUAUUUAUGUACCUAGAGAUGAUUUUUGGAAAAAAUAAAGAGCAAACUACAAGGCAGCCGUAGUUCAAAUUUGACCCGCUUCCAACUAAAUCGGUGGCAAUUUGUCUUUUUCACGAGAGGUGGAUAAAAACUUUUUGCACCCAACCAUUUUGUCAAUUGUGCAUUAAAUAUGCCCUAGUAUUUUAGAAAAUUGAUUUGGUCCAAUUUUGCAACAAUUAUUUGGGAGGUCCUUCACAAAAAAACCUCCUUUUGGACACUCGAAAAAUGGAAAAUGUUUUUUUCGUCCAAAGAAAAUGAAAACUUCCUUGGCCAACAUUGUUUGCCAUUCCAAUAUACACCCUUUGUGCACAAUAUGAGAUCAUUUAAACAAACUAUGCCAUGAAUGUGGCCAUAAGAUUGAUCAUUUGGCUUGAAAGCCAUUGAUCUCCACACGUGAUAGCUCGAUUCUGAGAACACUUUUUUAAAAUAAUUGUCGUAUUACAAGUUUGUUAUUUUUCCUGGGAACUUGGCCACAUAUAAUGACACAAUGCGAAGGUUUCCCAACUUCUUGAUUUUUUUUGAAUUUUUUAUGCCCGUUGCAAAAUGCGGUCAAAAUAGCGGGAAUGACUGUUCCUAGCUAGUGGUUGAAUCUUGAAAUUUUUUUGGUGUUUCUCUGAUUAAAUCGAUACUUAUGUACCUAGAAAUGAUUUUUGGCAAAAAUAAAGAGCAAACUAGAAGGCAGCCGUAGUUCAAAUUUGACCCGCUUCCAGCUGAAUCGGUGAAAAUUUGUCUUUUUCACGAGAGGUGGAUAAAAACUUUUUGCACCCAACCAUUUUGUCAAUUGUGAAUUAAAUAUUCGCUAAUAUUUUAGAAAUUUGAUUUGGUCCAAUUUUGCAACCAUUAUUUGGGAGGUCCUUCACAAAAAUACCUUCUUUUGGGCACUCGAGAAAUGGAAAAUGGUUUUUUCGUCCAAAGAAAAUCAAAACUUCCUCGGGCAACAUUGUUUGCCAUUCUAAUAUGCACCCUUGUACACAAUAUGAGAUCAUUUGAACAAACUAUGCCAUGAAUGUGGCCAUAAGAUUGAUCAUUUGGCCUGAAAGCCAUUGAUCUCCACACGUGAUAGUUCGUUUCUGAGAACACUUUUUUAAAAUAAUUGUAGUAUUACAAGUUUGUUAUUUUUCCUGCGAACUUGGCCACAUAUAAUUACACAAUGCGAAGGUUUCCCAAUUUUUUGAUUUUUUUUAUUUUUUAUGCCCGUUUCAAAAUGCGGUCAAAACGGCGGGAAUGACCGUUCCUAGCUAGAGGUUGAAUCUUGGAAUUUUCUGGUGUUUCUCUGAUUAAAUAGAUACUUAUGUACCUAGAAAUGAUUUUUAUAAAAAAUAAAGAGCAAACUACAAGGCAGCCGCAGUUCAAAUUUGACCCGCUUCCAACUGAAUCGGCGGAAAUUUGUCUUUUUGACCAGAGGUGGAUCAAAACUUUUUACACCCAACAAUUUGGUCAAUUGUGCAUUAAAUAUGCCCUAGUAUUUUAGAAAAAUGAUUUGGUCCAAUUUAGCAACAAUUAUUUGGCAGGUCCUUCACAAAAGAACCUCCUUUUGGGCACUCGGAAAAUGGAAAUUGGUUUUUUCGUCCAAAGAAAAUGAAAACUUCCUUGGGCAACAUUGUUUGCCAUUCCAAUAUGGACCCUUGUGCACAAUAUGAGAUCAUUUGAACAAACUAUGCCAUGAAUGUGGCCAUAAGAUCGAUCAUUUGGCUUGAAAGCCAUUGAUCUCCACACGUGAUAGCUCGUUUCUCAAAACACUUUUUUAAAAUAAUUGCCGUAUUACAAGUUUGUUAUUUUUCCUGGGAACUUGGCCACAUAUAAUGACACAAUGCGAAGGUUUCCCAAUUUCUUGAUUUUUUUUUGAAUUUUUUAUGCCCGUUUCAAAAUGCGGUCAAAAUGGCGGGAAUGACCGUUCCUAGCUAGUGGUUGAAUCUUGGAAUUUUUUUGGUGUUUCUCUGAUUAAAUGGAUACUUAUGUACCUAGAGAUGAUUUUUGGAAAAAAGAAAGAGCAAACUACAAGGCAGCCGCAGUUCAAAUUUGACCCGCUUCCAACUGAAUCGGUGGUAAUUUGUCUUUUUCACGAGAGGUGGAUAAAAACUGUUUGCACCCAACCAUUUAGUCAAUUGUGCAUUAAAUAUGCCCUAGUAUUUUAGAAAAUUGAUUUCUUCCAAUUUUGCAACUAUUAUUUGGGAGGUCCUUCACAAAAAAACCUCCUUUUGGGCACUCGAAAAAUGGAAAAUGUUUUUUUCGUCCAAAGAAAAUGAAAACUUCCUUCGGCAACAUUGUUUGCCAUUCCAAUAUGCACCCUUUGUGCACAAUAUGAGAUCAUUUAAAAAAACUAUGCCAUGAAUGUGGCCAUAAGAUUGAUCAUUUGGCUUGAAAGCCAUUGAUCUCCACACGUGAUAGCUCGAUUCUGAGAACACUUUUUUAAAAUAAUUGCCGUAUUACAAGUUUGUUAUUUUUCCUGGGAACUUGGCCACAUAUAAUGACACAAUGCGAAGGUUUCCCAACUUCUUGAUUUUUUUUUGAAUUUUUUAUGCCCGUUUCAAAAUGCGGUCAAAAUAGCGGGAAUGACUGUUCCUAGCUAGUGGUUGACUCUUGAAACUUUUUUGGUGUUUCUCUGAUUAAAUCGAUACUUAUGUACCUAGAAAUGAUUUUUGGAAAAUAUAAAGAGCAAACUACAAGGCAGCCGCAGUUCAAAUUUGACCCGCUUCCAACUGAAUCGGUGGAAAUUUGUCUUUUUCACGAUAGGUGGAUAAAAACUUUUUGUGCCCAACCAUUUUGUCAAUUGUGCAUUAAAUAUGCCCUAGUAUUUUAGAAAAUUGAUUUGGUCCAAUUUUGCAACAAUUAUUUGGGAGGUCCUUCACAAAAAAACCUCCUUUUGGGCACUCGAAAAAUGGAAAAUGUUUUUUUCGUCCAAAGAAAAUGAAAACUUCCUUGGGCAACAUUGUUUGCCAUUCCAAUAUGCACCCUUUGAGCACAAUAUGAUAUCAUUGAAAAAAACUAUGCCAUGAAUGUGGCCAUAAGAUUGAUCAUUUGGCUUGAAAGCCAUUCAUCUCCACACGUGAUAGCUCGAUUCUGAGAACACUUUUUUAAAAUAAUUGUCGUAUUACAAGUUUGUUAUUUUUCCUGGGAACUUGGCCACAUAUAAUGACACAAUGCGAAGGUUUCCCAACUUCGUGAUUUUUUUUUUGAAUUUUUUAUGCCCAUUUCAAAAUGCGGUCAAAAUAGCGGGAAUGACUGUUCCUAGCUAGUUGUUGACUCUUGAAAUUUUUUUGGUGUUUCUCUGAUUAAAUCGAUACUUAUGUACCUAGAAAUGAUUUUUGGAAAAUAUAAAGAGCAAACUACAAGGCAGCCGCAGUUCAAAUUUGACCCGCUUCCAACUGAAUCGGCAGAAAUUUGUCUUUUUCACGAGAGGUGGAUAAACAAAUUUUGCACCCCAACCAUUUUGUCAAUUGUGAAUUAAAUAUUCCCUAGUAUUUUAGAAAAUUGAUUUGGUCCAAUUUUGCAACAAUUAUUUGGGAGGUCCUUCACAAAAGUACCUUGUUUUGGGCACUCAAAAAAUGGAAAAUGGUUUUUUCGUCCAAAGAAAAUGAAAACUUCCUUGGGCAACAUUGUUUGCCAUUCCAAUAUGCACCCUUGUGCACAAUAUGAGAUCAUUUGAACAAACUAUGCCAUGAAUGUGGCCAUAAGAUUGAUCAUUUGGCCUGAAAGCCAUUGAUCUCCACACGUGAUAGCUCGUUUCUGAGAACACUUUUUUAAAAUAAUUGUUGUAUUACAAGUUUGUUAUUUUUCCUGGGAACUUGGCCAAUAUAAUGACACAAUGCGAAGGUUUCCCAUUUUUUUGAUUUUUUUUGAAUUUUUUAUGCCCAUUUCAAAAUGCGGUCAAAACGGCGGGAAUGACUAUUCCUAGCUAGUGGUUGAAUCUUGGAACUCUUUCGUGUUUCUGUGAUUAAAUAGAUAUUUAUGUACCUAGAAAUGAUUUUUGGAAAAAAUAAAGAGCAAACUACAAGGCAUCCGCAGUUCAAAUUUGACCCACUUCCAGAUGAAUCGGCAGAAAUUUGUCUUUUUGACCAGAGGUGGAUCAAAACUUUUUACACCCAACAAUUUGGUCAAUUGUGCAUUAAAUAUGCCCUAGUAUUUUAGAAAAUUGAUUUGGUCCAUUUUUGCAACUAUUAUUUGGGAGUUCCUUCACAAAAAAAACCUCCUUUUGGGCACUCAAAAAAUGGAAAAUGGUUUUUUCGUCCAAAGAAAAUGAAAACUUCCUUGGGCAACAUUGUUUUCCAUUCCAAUAUGCACCCUUGUGCACAAUAUGAGAUCAUUUGAACAAACUAUGCCAUGAAUGUGGCCUUAAGAUUGAUCAUUUGGCUUGAAAGCUAUUGAUCUCCACACGUGAUAGCCCGUUUCUGAGAACACUUUUUUAAAAUAAUUGCCGUAUUACAAGUUUGUUAUUUUUCCUGGGAACUUGGCCACAUAUAAUGACACAAUGCGAAGGUUUACCAAUUUUUUUAUUUUUUUUAUUUUUUAUGCCCGUUUCAAAAUGCGGUCAAAACGGCGGGAAUGACCGUUCCUAGCUAGUGGUUGAAUCUUGGAAUUUUUUUGGUGUUUCUCUUAUUAAAUAGAUACUUAUGUACCUAGAAAUGAUUUUUGGAAAAAAUAAAGAGCAAACUACAAGGCAGCCGCAGUUCAAAUUUGACCCGCUUCGAGCUGAAUCGGCGGAAAUUUGUCUUUUUGACCAUGGGUGGAUCAAAACUUUUUACACCCAAACAUUUAGUCAAUUGUGCAUUAAAUAUGCCCUAGUAUUUUAGAAAAAUGAUUUGGUCCAAUUUUGCAACUAUUAUUUGGGAUGUCCUUCACAAAAAAACCUCUUUUUGAGUACUCGAAAAAUGGAAAAUGGUUUAUUCAUCCAAAGAAAAUGAGAACUUCCUUGGGCAACAUUGUUUGCCAUUCCAAUAUGCACCCUUGUGCACAAUAUGAGAUCAUUUGAACAAACUAUUCCAUGAAUGUGGCCAUAAGCUUGGUCAUUUGGCUUGAAAACCAUGAAUCUUCACGCAUGAUAGCUCAUUUCUGAGAACAUAUUUUAAAAAUAAUUUUCGUAUUACAAAUUUAUUAUUUUUCCUGGAAACUUGGUCACAUAUAAUGACACAAUGCGAAGGUUUCCCAAUUUUUUGUUUUUUUUUUAAUUUUUUAUGCCCGUUUCAAAAUGCGGUCAAAACGGCGGGAAUGGCCGUUCCUAGCUAGUGGUUGAAUCUUGGAAUUUUUUUGGUGUUUCUCUGAUUAAAUAUAUACUUGUGUACCUAGAAAUUAUUUUUGUAAAAAAUAAAGAGCAAACUAUGAGGCAGCUGCAGUUCAAAUUUGACCCGCUUCCAGCUGAAUCAGCGGAAAUUUGUCUUUUACAUGAGAGGUGAAUCGAAACUUUUGACACCCAAGUAUUUGGUCAAUUAUACACUAAGUAUGUUCUAAUAUUUUAGAAAAUUGAUUUGGUCUAAUUUUGCAACAAAUAUAUUGUUGGUCCUUCACAAAAAACUCAUUUGGGGCACUUGAAAAAUGGAAAAUUAAUUUUUAAUCAACCAUGACCAAUUUUUUAUUCAACUACGACCAAUUUAGAUGCUCAUGACAUCGUACCCGUGUGCUGCAUUUUGAUUAGUCUGUGGGCAUUUCACGCGGAUCGUGGAUCAAACACCGUCGGAUGCUUGCGGAUCCAACAGCAGUCCUUCCCCAUAGUGCUCCUAAGCCGAAACCCUAGUCCGCGUGGAAAUUUUCCAUCCACCCCCCCCCCGCCUCCUUUCUUUCUCCCUCCCUCCACAAUCCUCUCCCCCGAUCCCCUCCCUCCCGCGACCUUCUCUCCCCCGAUCCCAUCGGGGGGCGCGACCUCCGCUCCACUAGCCCCGCCAGUGACCUGCUACCCCACCGCCGGCGCGCGGCAGAUCUAACCCAGCAGCAGCUCGGGUCAAACCCCUAACCCGCGGCCAUGGCAGGGGGAGCCCGAAACCCCACCCCGUGGCGGCUAGGGUUUCAGUCGGCUCCAACUCCGGCCCUGGUCUACCUCCGGCGACUCCUGAGCCCUCAAGCGCCACUUCGUCUCCUGGAUGGCGUCGAGGACGGCAGGUUUUUCCUCAACCUCAAGGAUACGCGCCGGCAGCCGGCCAUCUCCACCGAGUCGGCCGAUGGAGACCUCCGGAUCUGGUAUGAAUUCUCCCUCUCUCUCAAUCUGUGUGUAGGCGCUUCCUCACCUCACCUUGUCUCCUUCCCAGAACAACCAGAACACGUCCACCAUGGGAGAGGAAGGCCUUGGGACGCCAUGCUAGGAUGCUUCUCGGGAUGCCAUGGCCCUUCCUCCCGCUGGUUCUCCUUGCUCCUCAAGGUCCGCACAUCUCUGGUCGAUUGAUUCAGCUCCAGCGUCAAGGACACAACGGCAGCAGCAGCAAGGUUCGCCCCGCCUCUUGAUUUAAUCUUCUUCCAAUCCGUUGCCUUCUGAUGCUCGUGGACUCCUUCUUCUUCUUCUACAACUUCUCAUCAUCUCCUAUUGAUGUGUGCUCAUAUUAUGUCAAGGAAAGGAAUUCAAGGCCAUGGGAGCUUCUUCUAGUAUAGGACGUGUUGGACCUGCUGCUGUUGCUGGUUGUGUUCCCCAACCAAGUCCCCAAGCUGCAUCUUGCUACUCCUGCCUCGGCCGUACUCAACUUGCUCCUGGACAGCUACUGCAGGUGAGACAAUUGCCUCCAUCUACUGCAGGUAGAACUACUAUGUAGUUUGGUUGUAGCAGCAACUGUUGUAGGUUGGAAUAUAUAUGUGGUUUCAUAAGCUGGUGCUGCUAGUUGUUAUGGGAAUAUAUAUCUUAGUGCUUUUGGGGUUGUUCCUGUGGAUCCGGCGAGUUUAGUUUGGUUGUAGCAGCAACUGUAACUUUGUAUUACAUAUACUACAAGUUUGUACAGGAUUUUCGUUUGCUAGGAAACAUGGUCAUAUAUUCAUCUUUAAUGCUAGUUGUAUAUUUAGCGCAUCCAUAUGUGCAAGAAAAGGGUUCAGACAGAGAGGGGUACCUGUUUAUCAUGAUUUUUGCACCAGUUUAUCAUAUUGGUCUCCUGUAUUGUACUUUGAAGUUUAUCAUGUUGUGAAGCUGACCCUUCAAAUUGGGUUGCAGAGGAGGUAUGGCUGCCGCGCAAUGAUGCUGGAGACUGUUGCCGCAAUGCUGGGGAUGGAGACAGAUUGCACUGGAAAUAUUUUGUUAUUCCUUGCCUAAUGUUCUUGUUGCUGAUAAUAGGGCAUGUAGAUAGCAAGUUAUUUUCCUAGUGGUUACUUAUGCUUAUUGUGUAUCACAUUUAAAAAGAAAAUGCACAAUGAGCUUGUUUGAUCUUUCUUAUGCUUAUGUAUGCUUGAUCAAGGUAGUUCUUUUUUAAUUUGUUGACAAUGAACCAAUAUAACCAGUCAUCAGUAGCUAGUGUGCAUUGCCAAGUACAACAGUUCUACAUUGUAUGGAAUCAUCUAUAGAUAUUAUUUAUUUAAGUGUUGCUGGCUAUAUUGAAAUUAUACACUGAGGCGCUGUAGCAUUAGUGCACUGUAGCAUAUUAUUAUGAUUAAAGACUACCUACUGAUUUAGAAAUCGAGGAACACAUUAUCUGAGAAGAUAAUGGAAGUGUGAGAAAUUAGAAUCGUCUUUGUAUGCUAUACCAUAUAUAUGCUAUUUAUUUGUAUGCUAUUUAUCCAUGUGAUGCAACAUUAUCUGUAUGCUAUUUAUCCAUGUGAUGCAACAUUUUAAUGAACUUGUUAAACUGUUUGUCAAAAUUUAAAAUUAUGCUCCCUUGUGAAAUUUAUUGACAGGAUCUAUGCUAUAAGGACCUGGAGCAUCUAUUCUAAAAUCAUAGCUACAAGUUGUUGCUGUCGAUGGUGCCAUGGUGGUGCACAAUGUCUUUGGACUUCUCUGAGCUAAAGGUUCAUUCAAGAUUAGCCAAUGAUUCAUGUGAGCAUCUAUUCUGAAAACCCGGCAGCAGUUUUUUAUUUCCUGGAACUGUUUCAAUACUGCUAGAGUCUAAUGCUUACACUAGCUUCCCUAACUUAUCCCUAUGCAAAGACUCAUUAUACAAAUCAGAUACAAAUAUGAUCCCAUGUAUGAGUAAAGCUGGAUGACCAUCCAUUUGGUAAGAUUACAUAAUUGGUAGAACAAGUUAUCUAGAGAACUAAAUUGUUUGAAGCACGAAAGUUGAAUUUGCAUGCCGCUGAAUACUAUGUAAAUUCUACACUACUGAAAGUGUGCAGCUUAUGAUUCCUUUGCUGAAACAUGAAUGUACAGAUGGGAGUAUCACAACAUGCAUAUACUGAAGAUGGGAGUAUCACAACAUGCAUAUACUGAAGAUGGGAGUAUCACAACCUGAAUGUGCAGCUUAUGUAGUUUCUGUAUUUUUGUUAAAGCAUAUACUCUAGGAGGAGGAGCACCAUCUCAGGUUUGUCACUUGCUCCUCCACUUCUCUUAUCUUCUUCUUCUCCAUCUCCCCAUCUAAUUCAUGCGUUUCUUUGCAGGUUGCUCCGAUCUGGUUGUGUGAAGGAACAUGCAAGGUCUGCUACUACUGUUGUGCUCCCUCGAACGAUCUGGUGAAGGACAAUUUGGUCCAUAGGUCCAAUUACUGUAGCUAGCUAUCACACUUGUAGAGCUUGUAAUAUUGUGAUUCCAAUUGUAUUACGUGUUAUUGGUAGAGUAAGAGCUCCAUACUGAUUCUAGCUAUUGUUAUUUGAACUAUUACAUGUGUUUUCUGUCUGUUUGAAUUUAAAUAUUUGUUAUUUAUUCACUGGCAUAUUGAAAUCUGAAGAACAUGACCUUGACAUGAGGGACCCACAAAACAGAACCUGACAUUUCGGACCCACUUACCAGAAUCUGAAAAAACAAGAAAACAAAGGCCAUGGCCCAAAAAUAAAAAGGCUAAAAUGUUAGGCUAUGCCCGUAUGGCUGACGAAAACUGAUAUAUAUAUAUAUAUAUAAUAUAAAUAGGCUGAAUUGAUGGGCUUGGCCCAUGCAACUCAUGAAAAUUGGCAAAAAACAUAAAUGGGCUGAAUUAAUGGGUUGGGCCCAUAUAAACACCGAAUUGGACCGGGCUGAUUCUUGUGCCACAUCAGAUUGCCACGUCGAAUGCGUACGUGGCCUGGGGAGGCCGCUAGUGACCAAAACAAAAUAGCAGACAUAUUUUGGUCGUAAACGUCUACGACCUUCUCAUAGAGAAGGUCGUUAAUUUCAGUUUAUGACUGCCAGCUUUUGACCUUCUAUUUUUGGUCACAAAAAGGUCGCAAAUGAAAAACAAUGACCUUUCAGUGACCAAUAGUCAAGGUCACAAGUCGACAUAUUUCUCAUUUGGGUCGGCGCAUGCACCCAAUACUGGCCCGAACGGUUUUUUAAAAAUGCUGACUUAAAAAAAGAGCAAUAACGUUCAAACUUAAACAUAAUUAAACAUCAAAGGCCGGUCAACCGCCGGCCAAAAUCCACAUAAAUAGUAAACAUUAAUUAAACAUAAAAAGUCUACGCCGCUGUGCGUGCUGCCCUAGGCAUCCUCGUCGUCCGACCCAGGGCCGGAAAGGUCGACCAGCUCCGGUGCCGAGCAAGCCCAGGGGAAUGUCGCCUCCCAAACCGGGGCCAAGUCGUCCUGCUGCGUAGGUUGUGCCGCCGACUGGGCUUCUCGCUCGCACGACGUUCAUCCUCCUCCUUCUCAGGGCGCUCCUCCUCCUCCCGCUCGAUCUACAUGAGCCACUCGCCGGCGGCCCUGAAGAAACCCAUGGCGCUAGGGUUCGCUUGUCACCGGCGAGGAAGCACACGGUGGUUAGAUGUGGGCGAGCAGUGGAAGUGGAUGAGGCCAGCCACCCGCACGCGUGGAUUAAAAAAGGAUGACCGCCCGCAGCUUCCACUCGCUGACGCUUGGGCCCCAUGGUAGGUUUGUGUCGGCUCGUCGAGACUGGCAUUUUUGUCCGCUUUGACCCAAAGGACAUGGGGAACGAAAAUGGGUUGGUCGGUUGGAGUUGCUCUAAGGCAGCUGUCAGGACCCCAACUCAAUGCCACACCGAUCUAUCAUGUAACACCUCAUAUCACUUUGCGGCCUCACGCACGGUAUUCCCACAGGUGUCGCCUUACCAGGCCCGGGACCGUUUGCGCCUUUUGGCACACGUAUCAAGGAGCCCGGGCUGACAUGGCUAGUCGUGAACCCAAAGUGGCACUAACUUACAGGGACAGGCAUACAUGACCCAACAACGAAUGUGUCGGUCAUCAGCGAGUGAAUCCGGGCUGUAGCAACUGGGCUAGUAGGACUCCGGUAAACCAGGCUGUAGCAAGCUAACAGGACUCCGGUAGACACCGCGUGACAUUUCCCCGAAGGGACAGACACUGGAACGAAGAAGGACACAUGUCGGCCAACCUAAGUGUUCCGGAGCAGUAGCAAGCUACCAAGGCUCAGUGGAAGCACUAGGAGACAUUUCCCGGUAAGAGAGGCUACAAGGGAUAAACAACUAGAUAGUUAGAUCCCACACAUACCAAGCAUUUCAAUAACAUACACACAAUAUGCUCGAUAUGUGCAAAUAUAACAUGGCAUCACAACAUGACUCUACAACUCAAGUAUUUUAUUCGAUAGGCUCCGAGGAGCGAGAUAUUACAAACAUGGGUCUCAUGACCCAACAUUCAGAGCAUACAAGUCAAAGAACAUGCGGAAGCUUAACAUGUCUGAGUACAGACAUCUAUAAAUGAAAAAGGCUAAAAGCCUGACUAUCUACCAGAUCCUGCCGAGGGCACAAGAUCGUAGCUGAGGUAACAAGCUAAACGUCGAAGUCCACGCGGAACUACUAGUGAGACGGAAGUCUCUCUGCAAAACGUAAAAUAGGCAAACGUGAGUACAAAUGUACCCAGCAAGACUUACAUCAGAACUAACUACAUAUGCAUCAUUAUCAACAAAGGGGGUGGUGGAGUUUAACUGCAGCAAGCCAGCUUUGACUCGGUGGCUAACCUGAACUACGACUGCAAGUAACUCUUUUGAGGUGGCGCACAUGAGUCCACAUAUUCACCAUAUCAAUACACCACUAUGGAUCCGCUCCCGUCUCCCUAUGAGAACGCCAUCUAUAGCACUCACACUUAUCUUGCGCAUUUUAGAGUAUCCACUUUCACUUGUCUAUGAACUGUACAGGCAACCCAGAAGUCCUUUACCACGGACACGGCUAUUCGAAUAGAUGAUGUUAACCCUGUAGGGGUGUACUUCUUCACACACGCUCUCGCCACUUACCGCCAUGUACACGUCAUGUAUCUCGGCAACCUUCAAGAGGAAGCCUGGCGAGGGUGUCGGCCACGGCCUACCUAAACACUCAAGUCUCUCGUCCAGGUUUAUCGCUUAUUCGGGUUCCAUCCGCAAGGAGAUCCGGCCGGGGUGUCGCUCACGGCCCCAAAUGAUGUGAGCAGGGUUCCCAAGCCCACCAUCCAGGUGCCACUUGGUACACCGUGCCACUGCACCUAGUCUGUCCCAAGCCCACCUGUACCGGGUGCCACUUGGUAGACUACUAGCACUACCUACAAACACCAGAAACUAGUUGCAACUCCUGGACAGAGAACGAGGGUGAUUAAGAAGCCGAGAGGGUCAAUUAAGGAUCCCAAUGAGUGGUAGUAGCUGUUCAUAGAUCACAAACACAGAACUCAGUUCCUGAGGACGGUUUCAAUGAGACAACCCACCAUGUACUCCUACAUGGCCUCUCACCGCUACCUUUACCAAAUCGUGUUCACACAUUUAGACCACACACAGUAGGACAAGUUCACACACCUCCAAUUCAUCCCCGAUGAAUUAGACCUGACUCAACUCUAAGCAGUAGCAGGCAUGACAAACAAGCAUGAAUGAGUAGGCACAUCAGGGCUCAAACAACUCCUACUCAUGCUAGUGGGUUUCAUCUAUUUACUGUGGCAAUGACAGGUCAUGCAGAGGAAAAGGGGUUCAUCUACCGCCGCAUGUAACAGUUGAAUCGUUGUUGUCCUAAUGCAGUAAAAGAGAGCAGGAGCGAGAGAGUGGGAUUGUAUCAGAAUGAACAAGGGGGUUUUGCUUGCAUGGCACUUCUGAAGAUAGUAUAGCUCUUCAUCGGUGUCAUCGAAUAAUCGUCGGAACCACGUUUACUGAGAAGGGACAAACACCAACAACAGAGAAAGAACACACGAUCAAUGCAAUGCACAAUAUGAUGCAUGAUCAUGACAUGGCAAUAUGCUGUGAUUUGAGCUAAUGCAGCUAGCAACAGGUUAAAUGAAGUUGGUUUGAACCCUAGGUUCAAAUUCAAACUCCAUAUGUGGAUAUUCAAAUGCCAUUAUUUGUUUUGCCCAAUUCAGCAACUAUAAGUUGUGCUAACAUGCAUGAAAAUAGUACAGAUGGAUAGAUUGGAUUUUUUUGAUCAUUUUUCAUAUAUAAUUUAUCUCAUUCUGAGCUACGGUUGAAUUUAUAUGAUUUUUAGAAGUUUAAGCCGUUUUCUGGAUUUUCUGAUUAAAAAGAAUUAAACAAAUUCCAGAAAAGGAUUUACUGCGUCAGCCUGAUGUCACUAUGAUGUCAGCGGUCAACAGGGCCAGGUCCAGGUCAAACCUGACGUGUGGGGUCCACACGUCAGUGACUAACUAACUAAUCAAAAUUAGUUAGUGUUAAACUACUACUAACUAAAAAUGUCAGUGGAGUAAUUAGACUUAAUUAAGAACUAAACUAGGAUUAGUUGGGGCCCUGGGCCCACUUGUCAGCGACCCAGGGGGGGUCAAACUGGGGUCAAACCCGGGUCAACUCGCCGGAGUUGACCCGCGGCUCGUCGCCAGCAAGGCCAGGGACGGCGGAGAGGUGCGGGUUUCCUCCUCCGGCGACCAAAUCGAUAGCGGAGAGCGGCUACGUGGAGCUGGAGCUCGCGCGCGUCGAGUGGUGGCGGUGGGAGAUGCUGGGGUGGCCGGAAACGUCGCCGGCAACGACCUUGGCGGUCGCCGGAGUUCGGGCGAGGUCGAAGCCGUUGCUAUGAGGCACGGCGAGGCACGUGAGGAGGUUCUUUGGGCUUCUGCGACUGCGGUGAAGACGAUGGCGUGCUCGGAAUCAAGCCAACGUGGUUGUGGCCACGACGGCGACGUGCGGUGGCGGCGGCGGUGCGGUCGAGCUCGGUGCGGUCGCUGUGGUGCUCGAGAGCGAGAACGGGAAGGGGGAGGUGGAAGAGGAGCUCACGGGGAGUGCAGGGGCAUCGAAGCGGGCUCGGGGAAGGCUCGGAGCAGACGGCACGGCCGUGGCGAUCUCGGCGUCCGAGGAGGAAGAGGGCGAGGUAGCCGGCGAUGCAGGGCGGCAGGCGUCGCGUGGCUCUAUGUAGAUGACGAGGACGACGCUGCGGUUCUUCAGGGUGGGUCGGCGAGGCGAGGGGAGCACGGUGGUUGCGGUUUCACGGCGGCGAGCGCUUGACGGUUGCGGCCAUAGCGAGGAGAGGGCAAGAGAGUGGGCAGAGGGGGAGAGUGAAACGUCCAGGGGGGUCGGGGCAGCGCCGAAGAGAAGGCCCGAGGCGUUGCGCUGUCCCGGGGACGCAGGCAGGCAGGUGGCGUGGCAACACGACCGUGCGCGCGCGUCGGGCACGCGCUCGUCCUCCUGGCAGAGGAGGAAGACGACAGGGGAGGAGGCGGUGGUGGGCUGGGCCGCCAGCUGGGCCGGCCAGGUGGGCUGCACGAGUGAGGCCAGGUACUAACUCUCUCUCUCUCUUUUAAUUAUUGUUUCUGUUUUCUAUUAUUCUUCAGUAUUUAGGGCUUUAUUUAAAUUACUGAAAUAGAUCCAAAAAUCAUGAAACUAAUAAUGGCUACUGUUUAGGAUAUAUUCAAUAGUAAACAUUUUAGUUUAUGAUUAUUUGAGCAUUUAAAAUAUUUAAUAGCAUUUAAAUGCCCAGAUGCAAAGUACAUAUGAUUUAAUUCAGUGACCAAAUAUGUCAUGGAAAAAUGUGCAACACCUCUGGUUAUGGUUUCAAGCAUUUUCCAGAAAUGAUGAACAUUUUUGAAAGCCAUUUGGACAUACUAAAAAUAUUUUUUAGGUUGAACCUAUUUGAAUUCCAUUUGGUACUAGGGUUUGGACAUCCCCAUUUCAAGUUUCUUUCAAAGUUUAAACAUGAUGCACACAUGAAGUUAGCCUAGUGCGAUGCCAGAAGCUAGGGAUGUGACAGCAGAAGCGCGAACUUCCCUCCUGCUCCUAGUUUUGGAGGCGUCAAAAGCUUCCUUGGUCGGGUUUUAGGGAGCAUCCGAAAGCUUGCCAGGUUCUGAAGUUGGGGUAUCUUUAUCUUGUUUAGGUUUAUUUCGGCCAAGUUUUACUUUGUUUUCCUGUUUUUUCUUUAUCUUUUAUUGUUUUUUCUUUUUUUUGUUUAUUUUUCCUUUUUAAUUUUUAUUUCCCUUUUCUUUCUAUUUUUUUCAAAUUCUUGAAGUUCUUCCAAAUUUGUGAACUGUUUUAAAUUCCCAAACUAUUUUGAUUUGUGAAUAUUUUUCUUCAAACAGUGAACUUUUUUCAAAUUCACAAUAAGUUCCAUUUCACAAAUAUUUAUUGAAUUUGUGAACUUUUCCCUAAUUCAUGAAUUUGUCCAGUUUGCUGCAAAAAGUUUUGAACUCAUAAAUCUUUUUCAAAUUCACAAAACUUUUUCAUAUACUUGAACUUUUUUUGAGGUCAUGAACAUUUUUAAAUUCAAUUUUUUGAGUUUGUGAAUAUAUUUCUUUGAAUUGGUGAACUUUUUUUAAAUUCAUGAACNNNNNNNNNNNNNNNNNNNNNNNNNNNNNNNNNNNNNNNNNNNNNNNNNNNNNNNNNNNNNNNNNNNNNNNNNNNNNNNNNNNNNNNNNNNNNNNNNNNNNNNNNNNNNNNNNNNNNNNNNNNNNNNNNNNNNNNNNNNNNNNNNNNNNNNNNNNNNNNNNNNNNNNNNNNNNNNNNNNNNNNNNNNNNNNNNNNNNNNNNNNNNNNNNNNNNNNNNNNNNNNNNNNNNNNNNNNNNNNNNNNNNNNNNNNNNNNNNNNNNNNNNNNNNNNNNNNNNNNNNNNNNNNNNNNNNNNNNNNNNNNNNNNNNNNNNNNNNNNNNNNNNNNNNNNNNNNNNNNNNNGUGAACGACCAUAUGUGGCCGUUCCCAGGAUUUUAAGAAUAACAAAAAAAAUAUUGUACUAGUUACAAUAACACUUCACUGAUUUUACCAAAUAUCCUUUGCUGCUUUUGAUUUUUAUGACUGGGAUGUCAAUCAUGCAAAGUCGAUGUCAUGCACUUGAAAAAUAUUAUUGAAAUAUUGACUAGACUACUUUCAUUUCCUAUAAACUAGCACAAAAAGCAUCCAGUUAGUAAGUGAACCUGAAGCACACUUUGUUAGAAGGUUCCAAAAUUUAGCAGUAGAACUGUUGUGUGAAAGUUAACAAAAUAAAAAACUAUUCUCAGAACUGAAUGGAUAGCCAUACAAUUCAUUCAUAACAAAAGGGAACAUACACAUUAAAAAAGACCAUAGGCUCGUUCAUUACAAAGUAACACAGGGAUCAAUACAUUCUGAAGAAGAUGCACCCAACUGCAAUAAUUAUGUUGGAGUAACUCUACCUAGGAGCAUGGAUGACAAGUGCUCAACCUAUAUCUUAGCUGCCGAUAACAAGCUGAAAGCACAAAGAUUAGUUUGUUUCAUCUGAAGAUGGUUCUCCACCCAUGUCAAAAAUAUAACGAGGUUUGAAUUUCACCAUGGUAUUCCAAUUACUUCUCGGAUGUUGGAUAUAAAAGACCUGGUCCACUUGGGAAGAAAAUACAAAAGGAUCAUCCUCUAACUUCUCCCCUAUAUGUAUUCUUGGGAGAAGUUCACAUGAGUGAAUCCACACUCAUCUCUUACAAUACCAGCUUUGUGAUGAACAUCAUAAGAAUCACAUUUGAAGAACACCACCUUGUAAUCUCUGUAUGACAAUUCAAAGAUGUCAGAUAGCCGGCCAUAAUUGGACACACCAUUUUCAGCAAGGUUCACGACACGACUAUUUUGUGUCACUCGUCCUAUCGCGGCUGAUAGUAUGAAACCUGAAACCAUUAAUUAUAUAGCCACUCUAGCGCACCCCACAUUUGCUUGGUUUUGCAGCUAAUGCUCUUAUCUUUUCUGUGAUAUCCGGUCCAUCAUCUAGUAUAACAUGUAUGUAAGAGUGGUUACAUGGAGUUCAUAUGGAACUACAGUGAAGGAACAUGCAAAAGGUGAAUUAUACCUUUUGUUCCAACCAAUUAGCAAAGUGUCUACUAAUCAAAUCCUCAUCGUCAUCAUCCGUCAAAUUUAAGUUACCCGGUUUCCUCUUCUCUUGAUCCACAAAUUCUCUGUAAUAAUAAGACAAAUAACAUCAUGAUUUUUUCCAACUUGUGAAAAACAAAAGAAAUAGAAGACAGCACUGAAGCACACCUACGGAGAUCAUCAAGCUCAUCCGUGUGUCGCAAGACAUAUCGAUGUGCUUGAACUAGAAGUUGAUCGUCCAACUGGCCUAUAGUGACAGCCUUUCCAAUUGUCUCACCAACACUAUCAAACAUGUACAUGCCCUUUGUAUUAGCUGAAGGAUCAGUGUUCCUAGAUGUUCUUGUGAAACAUGUGUGGUUCCUUCUAGAAAUCUUGAACAAAAGGUCAACCAUUCUUCAACAAUAUAUCCUUCAGCAAUAGAACCUUCAGGAUAAGCAGAAGGCUAGUUGGUAUAACCAGUCACUAAAAAUCUAAGUAAUAUCCAGUGGUCUCUCUUGCUAAAACAAGAAAAGUACUCUUGUGUGGCAUGACAUAUGCAGCCCCCCCUAACCAGAUCAACUUCAAAAAUAUCAUGUCAUCAACAAUUGCCAUCCAAUCAACAGUCCCCACUGUUUUUAACAACAAUUCUUAUCCAAUCACCAAAAAGGAUUCACAGAUUUUUAUCAACAAUUGUCUAAUUUCAACAAUACAAUGCAUCAUUGCAAAGACAGAAAGGAAAAACAGAGGUGACAUCGCAAUUUGAGCUAUAUUUCACAUGAUAUGGAGAUAGAAAAAUGAGAAGAACAACCUGCGGACAAGCUCCUAGCAGCAGAGGUGUGUCGGCGAGGUCGUUGCCAUGGUCGGCAGCAAAGCGAGAGAGGAGUCG
rnacentral:lncRNA from 1 species